GACGAACGCUGGCGGCGUGCUUAACACGUGCAAGUCGAACGGAAAGGCCCUGCUUUUGUGGGGUGCUCGAGUGGCUAACGGGUGAGUAACACGUGAGUAACCUGCCCUUUACUUUGGUAUAACUUCAGGAAACUGGGGCUAAUACCGGAUAGGAGCUCCUGCUGCAUGGUGGGGGUUGGAAAGUUUCGGCGGUUGGGGAUGGACUCGCGGCUUAUCAGCUUGUUGGUGGGGUAGUGGCUUACCAAGGCUUUGACGGGUAGCCGGCCUGAGAGGGUGACCGGCCACAUUGGGACUGAGAUACGGCCCAGACUCCUACGGGAGGCAGCAGUGGGGAAUAUUGCACAAUGGGCGGAAGCCUGAUGCAGAAACGCCGCGUGCGGGAUGAAGGCCUUCGGGUUGUAAACCGCUUUCGCCUGUGACGAAGCGUGAGUGACGGUAAUGGGUAAAGAAGCACCGGCUAACUACGUG
rnacentral:rRNA from 1 species